GGUUGUGUAGUGUAGCGGUCUAGCACAUGAGACUCUGAAUCUCAUAACCCGAGUUCAAAUCUCGGCACGACCU